GUGUCAAAAGCCUUACUGAAAUCUAGGUAAGCAAGGUCUACUGCACCACCCUGAUCUAUUAUUUUAGUUACCCAAUCAAAAUAAUAUCAAUAAGAUUAGUUUAGCAUAAUCUCCCUGAAGUAUAUACAUACAUUUAUAAUAUUUUUACAUAACCAAGUAAUUUUAUUAAAGGGACUUUCCAGUGCCAGCAAAACAUCUCCAGUGCCCUCUUCCCUCCCACCCCCCAUCCCAUGUUGCUGAAGGGGUUAAAACCCCUUCAGUGACUUACCUGAAUCCACCACUGAUGUCCCUCGGCGCUUAGUCAAGCUCCGCCCACACUCCUGAUGUCGGCAGGGGGAGACCUAAGGGGCAUGCGCAGC